rnacentral:rRNA from 1 species
UACAGAGGUCUCAAGCGUUGUUCGGAUUCAUUGGGCGUAAAGGGUGCGUAGGUGGCGAGGUAAGUCGGGUGUGAAAUCUCGGGGCUCAACCCCGAAACUGCAUUCGAUACUGCUUUGCUCGAGUACUGGAGAGGAGAUUGGAAUUUAUGGUGUAGCAGUGAAAUGCGUAGAUAUCAUAAGGAAGACCAGUGGCGAAGGCGGAUCUCUGGACAGUUACUGACACUGAGGCACGAAGGCCAGGGGAGCAAACGGG